rfam:Candidatus Aminicenantes bacterium RBG_19FT_COMBO_65_30 rbg_19ft_combo_scaffold_20, whole genome shotgun sequence.
CGCGGGGUAGAGCAGCCUGGUAGCUCGUCGGGCUCAUAACCCGGAGGUCGUUGGUUCAAAUCCAACCCCCGCUA